UUCACCUGCAAGGGAUAGAGAUUGGCCAUGCCCACACAUGACCCUACAGGGCGUCACAAAGAUGAGAAGGGCAAAGGUCAAACCAGAGAGGAGAGGAGCAGGCAGGAAUCCAAAGUCCAAUAAACAGACAAAAGGUCUUGGUCACGGAGAGAAGAGCGUUCAGUCUGCCUGCCCUGUUUAGCGUGCACUCUGCUGCCUGCUCUGCUCACAGCGCCUGCUGCCCGAUCACAGUGCCUCUCGGCCUGAUACUCUUCUUUGCACAUUAACUGAGCCUGUUAAUAAAUCCAAAUGUUUUGCCUUUA